UCAGGACUCCUCAGGUCAUCUUCUCACAAUGAGGCUCCCUGCUCAGCUCCUGGGACUGCUAAUGCUCUGGGUCCCUGGAUCCAGUGGGGACAUUGUGAUGACCCAGACUCCACUCUCCCUGCCCGUCACCCCUGGAGAGCCGGCCUCUAUCUCCUGCAGGUCUAGUCAGAGCCUCCUGCAUAGUAAUGGAUACACCUAUUUGCAUCGGUACCUGCAGAAGCCAGGCCAGUCUCCACAGCUCCUGAUCUAUUUGGGUUCCAACUGGGCUUCCGGGGUCCCUGACAGGUUCAGUGGCAGUGGGUCCGGCACUGAUUUCACACUGAAAAUCACUCAGGGUGGAGGCUGAGGAUAUUGGCUUUUAUUACUGCAUGCAACAUCUACAAAUUCCU